rnacentral:rRNA from 1 species
GAUGAACGCUGGCGGCGUGCCUAAUACAUGCAAGUCGAGCGAACGGACGAGAAGCUUGCUUCUCUGAUGUUAGCGGCGGACGGGUGAGUAACACGUGGAUAACCUACCUAUAAGACUGGGAUAACUUCGGGAAACCGGAGCUAAUACCGGAUGAUAUUUUGAACCGCAUGGUUCAAAAGUGAAAGACGGUCUUGCUGUCACUUAUAGAUGGAUCCGCGCUGCAUUAGUUAGUUGGUAAGGUAACGGCUUACCAAGGCAACGAUGCAUAGCCGACCUGAGAGGGUGAUCGGCCACACUGGAACUGAGACAAGGUCCCGACUCCUACGGGAGGCAGCAGUAGGGAAUCUUCCGCAAUGGGCGAAAGCCUGACGGAGCAACGCCGCGUGAGUGAUGAAGGUCUUCGGAUCGUAAAACUCUGUUAUUAGGGAAGAACAUAUGUGUAAGUAACUGUGCACACCUUGACGGUACCUAAUCAGAAAGCCACGGCUAACUACGUG